rnacentral:rRNA from 1 species
UACGUAGGGAGCGAGCGUUGUCCGAAUUUACUGGGCGUAAAGCGCGCGUAGGCGGGCUUUUAAGUUGGGGGUGAAAUCCCGGAGCUUAACUCCGGAACUGCCUCCAAAACUGGAAGCCUUGAGGUAUGGAGAGGGAAGUGGAAUUCCUGGUGUAGCGGUGAAAUGCGUAGAUAUCAGGAGGAACACCCGUGGCGAAGGCGGCUUCCUGGCCAUAUCCUGACGCUGAGGUGCGAAAGCUAGGGGAGCGAACGGG